rnacentral:lncRNA from 1 species
AGUGCAGUGGUGUGAUCUCGGUUCACUGCAACCUCAACCUCCUCGGCUCAUGUGGAUCCUCCCACCUCAGCUUCCUAAGUAGCUGAGACUACAGUACUUUGCAACCUACCAAGUAUCAUCACAAGAGCUAUGAAAGUGAAGAGAGACAUACGUUAUCUAAGAAUCUGAGAGAGAUGACUCAGUCAGCAUCCUCUCUCUUGGUGUACAAUGGUAGGGACAGCUACUGUGUCAUCUGGAGCAUGACAAUGAGAACACAGACACUGGAUCGUCCUGAUAUAGCCUGCAGUCCAUCUGGGCCUCUAGACAUUCAUUUGCAUUUGCAUUCAUGCGCAUCCCCUACUACUCCAACUCCUACACCUUUUGGCAGGAUAUAUCCACACAGCUGGAUUGGAAUCACAAGAUGUUUUUAUUUUUUGCCUCA